UACGUAGGGGCUAGCGUUAUCCGGAAUUACUGGGCGUAAAGGGUGCGUAGGCGGUCUUUCAAGCCAGAAGUGAAAGGUUACGGCUCAACCGUAGUAAGCUUUUGGAACUGUAAGACUUGAGUGCAGGAGAGGAGAGUGGAAUUCCUAGUGUAGCGGUGAAAUGCGUAGAUACUGGUAGGAACACCCAUUGCGAAGGCAGCUCGCUGGACAACACGUGACGCUGAGGCGCGAAAGUGUGGGGAGCAAACCGGAUUAGAUACCCGGGUAGUCCCUGAG
rnacentral:rRNA from 1 species